AUUGAACGCUGGCGGCAUGCCUUACACAUGCAAGUCGAACGGAUCAGAGGAGCUUGCUCUUCUGGUUAGUGGCGAACGGGUGAGUAAUGCAUCGGAACGUACCCAGUAGUGGGGGAUAACGUAGCGAAAGUUACGCUAAUACCGCAUACGACCUGAGGGUGAAAGCAGGGGAUCGCAAGACCUUGCGCUAUUGGAGCGGCCGAUGUCGGAUUAGCUAGUUGGUAGGGUAAAAGCCUACCAAGGCGACGAUCCGUAGCUGGUCUGAGAGGACGACCAGCCACACGGGGACGGAGACACGGCCCAGACUCCUACGGGAGGCAGCAGUGGGGAAUUUUGGACAAUGGGGGAAACCCUGAUCCAGCCAUGCCGCGUGAGUGAAGAAGGCCUUCGGGUUGUAAAGCUCUUUCAGACGGAAAGAAAUCUUCCGGGCUAAUACCUCGGGAGGAUGACGGUACCGUAAGAAGAAGCACCGGCUAACUACGUGCCAGCCGCCGCCGUAA
rnacentral:rRNA from 1 species